GCUAGACCUAGUCCUACAAACAACAUUUAAACUAUUUAUUACACCCACAAAACAUUUAUCAGCCCUAGUAUAGGCGAUAGAACAGACAAAUAUAUAGGCACAAUAGAGAGAGUACCGUGAGGGAACGUUGAAAGACUUCAUCCUACAAGCAAUAAAAAGCAAAGUUUUCACCUUUUACCUUUUGCAUAAUGAUUUAGCUAGUCAAACCGGACAAAACGAAUUGAAGCCCGCCUCCCCGAAAUUAAGUGAGCUAUUGUAGAACAGUUGACAGAACGAACUCGUCUGUGUAGCAAAACAGUGAGAUGAUUUUACAAUAGAGGUGAAAAGCCUAUCGAACUUAAUGAUAGCUGGUUGUCCAAAAAAUGAAUUUAAGUUCAACUUUAAAUUUAAUUCAAGUACCCAUAAACAUCAUUUAAAUUUAAAUGUUACUCAAAAGAGGGACAACUCUUUUGAUAUGUAGACAAACUUUCAUAGAGGAUAAUGAAAUCAACACAAAACAUUGUAGGCCUAAAAGCAGCCAUCAAUUAAGAAAGCGUUAAAGCUCAAACUUAUCCAAUACUUAAUUCCCAUAUUUAAUCAAAAUCCCUUAUUUUAUAUUGGACAAUUCUAUUCUUAUUUAGAAGAUAUAAUGCUAAUAUGAGUAACCUGAAUGUAUUCUCCUUGCACAAGCAUAUAUACGACCGGAACAACCGCUUACACUUAACCAAACAAAUAAUCAUAACUACAUACUAGUACCUUAUUAUAUACUUUGUUAACCCAACCCAGGUGUGCAUAUAAAGGAAAGAUUAAAAGGAGUAAAAGGAACUCGGCAAAUACGAACCCCGCCUGUUUACCAAAAACAUCACCUCUAGCACUUACCAAGUAUUAGAGGCAUUGCCUGCCCAGUGACGCCAAUGUUCAACGGCCGCGGUAUCCUAACCGUGCGAAGGUAGCGCAAUCAAUUGUCUCAUAAAUCGAGACCUGUAUGAAUGGCUAAACGAGAUCUCAACUGUCUCUUGUAGAUAAUCAGUGAAAUUGAUCUCCCCGUGCAAAAGCGAGGAUAAUCACAUAAGACGAGAAGACCCUGUGGAACUUAAAAAUCACUAGUCACCUCCCUAACACAGAACCUAGCAGGCCCACUACCCAGAGAGCCCUGACUAAUAUUUUUUGGUUGGGGCGACCUUGGAGAAUAACAAAACCUCCAAAUACAAGACCACAAAUCUUUACUGAGUGCCACCACUCAAAGUGCUAACAGUAACCAGACCCAGUAUCCAUCUGAUCAAUGAACCAAGCUACCCCAGGGAUAACAGCGCAAUCUCCUCCAAGAGCUCCUAUCGACGAGGGGGAAUUACGACCUCGAUGUUGGAUCAGGACAUCCUAAUGGUGCAGCCGCUAUUAAGGGUUCGUUUGUUCAACGAUUAAAGUCCUACGUGAUCUGAGUUCAGACCGGAGAAAUCCAGGUCGGUUUCUAUCUGUAAAUUCAUUUCUCCCAGUACGAAAGGACAAGAGAAAUAGGGCCAAUAUCCAUAAUAAGCCCUAGAAUUAAUAUAUGAAUUUAUCUAAAUAUACUAAAUCAACCCAUAUACCCCCAAGAACAGGGC
rnacentral:rRNA from 1 species